rnacentral:rRNA from 1 species
AUGAACAGUUUCACCCCGUUCGUGCCACCGCUCCCGGCUCGCUCGCGCCGCCUCCUCCUCCCGCACCCGCGCCUCGCCUCUCCCCCCUUCCCUCCAAACCAUAGCCCCGCGCCGGCCGGCCGGCCGCCGCCGCCGUCGCCGCCCGCCCGGGCACCUAUCCACGACCUCGCGCUGCCCCUCUCCUCUUCCUCCUGCCUCACCUCUCUCUCCCCUCUCCAAACCCUAACCCUAGCCACCAGCCUUCGCUCCAUGCCGCGCCGUCGCAUAUUCUCCUCCUCCCCGCCCUCCCGGUCCUUAGCGGGAGGAGCGCGGCUUGCCGCCGCAACUGCUCCGCGUCGCUGCUCCCUCGUCGAGCUGGCACGUCCCCGUCACCUGGAGGAGCCGACGCUCCCUGCUGCGCCGUCGCAUGGCAGCUGCUCCGCGUCGCUGGUCCCCCAUCUAGCUCGUCUGUCCCCGUCGCCUGGAGGAGCGGAGGUUGCCGCUCCAGCAUCUUCUCGGCCCUCCUUCCCUCGUCGGCGAGCGGCUCAUGGCAACUCCGAAUUCGGAGGCAGGUCUGAAUCCAAAUGUGGAACAGGGAAAGGUAAAAGCAGCUCAAUUGGUUGGUUCAAGCUACAGGUUGGCACCUACGCAGAAAGAGGUGAUGGAUUGAAAGUGCAGGAACCACUCAGAAUAAUCAUCGAUACGGACAAUGACGGUGAAGGCCGUACUUCCUGGGCGAUUCUCAACGUAGAACCAGUUGACCUGACGGAAGAAGCCGACAGCGAGUCGGGCCUGCGGCUUUUGUGGUGGGGUGAGGAAGAGGAGGACGAGGAGUGA